rnacentral:rRNA from 1 species
CAAUAAGCGGAGGAAAAGAAACCAACAGGGAUUGCCCCAGUAACGGCGAGUGAAGCGGCAGCAGCUCAAAUUUGAAAUCUGGCCCCCCCCGGGGGGGCCCGAGUUGUAAUUUGCAGAGGACGCUUCGGGCGCGGCGCCGGCCGAGUUCCUUGGAACAGGACGCCGUAGAGGGUGAGAGCCCCGUACGGCCGGACGCCUAGCCCGUGCGAAGCUCCUUCGACGAGUCGAGUAGUUUGGGAAUGCUGCUCAAAAUGGGAGGUAAAUUUCUUCUAAAGCUAAAUACCGGCCAGAGACCGAUAGCGCACAAGUAGAGUGAUCGAAAGAUGAAAAGCACUUUGAAAAGAGGGUUAAAGAGUACGUGAAAUUGUUGAAAGGGAAGCGCCUGUGGCCAGACGUGCCGCCCGCGGACCACCUGGCGCCCCCGCGCCAGGGCACGCCGCGGGCGCGCAGGCCAGCAUCGGCCUCCCCGGGGGGACAAAGGGCGCGGGAACGUAGCUCCUCAGGGAGUGUUAUAGACCGCGCCGCCAUGCCUCCGGGGGGGCCGAGG